rnacentral:rRNA from 1 species
UACAGAGGUCUCGAAGCGUUGUUCGGAUUCAUUGGGCGUAAAGGGUGCGUAGGCGGCGCGGUAAGUCGGGUGUGAAAUCUCGGAGCUUAACUCCGAAACUGCAUUCGAUAACUGCCGUGCUUGAGGACUGGAGAGGAGACUGGAAUUUACGGUGUAGCGGUGAAAUGCGUAGAUAUCGUAAGGAAGACCAGUGGCGAAGGCGGGUCUCUGGACAGUUCCUGACGCUGAGGCACGGAAGGUCAGGGGAGCAAACGGG